rnacentral:lncRNA from 1 species
AUGGGACUAAGGAAAGAAAGGACAGGAAAGAAGUGGAAGACAUGUAAGAAAAAAAAAAAAAACCUGUUGUUACAAAGCUUAACUGUAAAUGAAAACAGAGAAGUGGGUUUGACUGAUAAUGACAUUUUGACACUGAAAAAUUUAGAAGACUGGAGAGGUAAUGAGCAGGAGGAAGAAGAGAGACAUGAGCAGGAACACAAAUGCACUUACAAACAGGAGACAACAAACAACUAUGUCCGAGUAGAAAGGGAAGAAUCAGAGUCUGGAAUUCUCAGAAGACUGAGUCAAGGCUUGCAGUAUCUGUGAUGCCAACAACCGUGUUUCUGCAGUAUUUUCCCAGUCUUGUAAUAUUGGCCAAAAUGAAAGAAGGAUUCAGGUUGAAGAGGAUGGCCUUUCUGCAAGGAUGCUUCUACUAAGGACAGCAUGGCAAGGCCUUCCAUGAACCAGAUUACUACGAAUCCUGGAAUUCUGGAAAGUAACCAGCCACGAAGCCAACAAUGAUUUAAGACCAAGAUAUAGUAGGAAGGAGCAACCAAGAUUUGAAGGCAGUACAGAUUGGUGGACAUCGAAGUGGAUGUGAGACUACCCUCUUUAGAAUUUUGUUUUCAAAAUAUACAGAAAAGAUGUCACUUAGGAUACAAUUCUUGAAUAUUUUAUUAUAAGAGGCUAUUUUGAAAAUAUCUAUAGCCACUAACUCAUAAAAAAGAGUCAUUUUUAACUUAUUUCCAGAUUGCCUUCCAUAGAUCCUUGAAGAAGAGGUUCCAAAUUUAUUUUGAUCUUUUGAUUGCUUAAAGCCAUUCACCAAGAAACUUUUGGAGCUUUCAACCUUUCUACAGAAACAUUCAUUUGAAUGAGAGAGAAUAUUUUGCAAAUUGACUCCCAGGCUGAUUUCUUACCAUCAUUCAAAAUGGAAUUGGGCCAGCUCCUUCAGCCAUCAGUUAUGUGAUACAAGUUGAUUUUAAUAAUGCAUUCUAAAUACAAAUAGAAAUGACUAUUGUCUAUGUUUUGAACUAUCUGUUCAACAUUGUUUAGCUAGAUAAGUGAAAUUUUAUCCCAUUUCUAAUUUCUGUUAUUUAGUAAUUAGAUCACUUUGCCUUUUUGGUUCCAGUUAGAUAGUAAUUAAUAAAAAGACUACUCUUUUUCUUGGAAGGAAAAUA